AUUACAAAUAACUCGCAGAAGAAAGAGAUGAAGUUAAAGGAGCAGAAAAAAUCAAAUUUCAAAAAUAAGUAUACCAUGUCAUUCUAUACCAUCAUCCAUUAUGGAUGUGUGUAUUUGAACCUUAUCAAAAUGGUACCAUAAACAUUUAUAUAGAUAAUAGGCUAACAGAGUUUAUAGUUGUAAAGUUUCAAGCUAUCUCCUCCAAAGAUAGUUAUCUAUACAUAGCCAUCUAUAUAUCAAAAUUUUCGUUAUUUUUUGCUUCACAUUACCGUUUUAUUUUUAUUUGCCAAAUAUUAAUAUAUUUAUUUAUUUUUAAUUUAUUCGAUUUUGCAAUCGUAGAUUUUUUGCCUGCAAAUGUUGCUUAUCUUAUUUGUUAUUUACCACCAUCGAAUUGUUUAUUUUUAAAACACGUUCUUUUUGUAUUAUUACUUUUAAUUAAUUUCUAUUGUUACUUUUAUUUUCUUAUUAAUUACUUUAUUAUAAUUAUAAUUAUUUUUUUUUUUGCUUAUCCCUAGUACACGUGGUACAGGCCAUGAUAAUCAUGGUGGGUAGAAGUAGGCGACUGCUUUUACUGUAAGUGCACCACAUGUAUACCCAUGUGAAAAGCAGUUCGACUUUGCACUUACAAAUGUGCCAGAGCCCCGUUUGGUUACUUGCACUCGCUGGUGGGGUUGGACUUUUGCAAGAAUCGGGGGCCAUUGGAGCAUUAUUUUUUUAAACAUAAAAAAGUGCUCAAUGCGGGAAUCGAACCCGGGUCGUAGCGGUCAAAAACCAACGGUUUAGACCAUCCUUCCACCGACCCACAUUAUAAUUAUAAAUGUAAGUAGCUUUGUUAUAGUUUUUCAUUUAAAUUUAGCUCCAUUUUUGUGUCUGGUAUUCUUUUUUGCAGUAUCUUCUUGGGAUAUUUUUUUAAUCAAUCAAUUGUUUAUUACUUAAUUAGAAUUGUAAGCAUAGCUUUGUUAUAGCGUUAUAUAUAAUAUUUUAUUAUAAUAUUAAAACUAAAAUAAACUAAUGUGGAGAAGUUAAAAUAGAAGUUCCAGGAAAAUCACUGGGCUGGGAGCCGUGGCGUGCUCCUGUAAUCCAGCUACUUGGACGCCGAGGUUGGUGGACGGCUUGAGGCGGGGAGCCCUCCCUACUUUGACUGGAUGUCCGCACUAGGCCCAGCGUCAAUAUGGCGACCCCGGGGGAGCUCGGGGCCUCCAGGUCAGCUAAUGAGGAGUGGACCGGCCCAGGGCGGAAACGCAGCAGGUAAAAGCUCCCGCGCAGGGCGGUAGUGGGAUCUCGUCCGUGAAUGGUAGCCUCGCUGAUAUAGUUGGACCCAACUCUUUUUUUAAAAUACUUAUUUUAUUCUUUGAAGGCCUAUUCAAGUAUAUAUAUUACAUAUUUUUAAAUAUAGAACGACUUCCCUAUACAGGUUACAUAAAUAUCAUCGGUUCGAUCCCCAGCGUGGCAAUCUUUUUUUUUUCAACUAGAGAGAUAUUUAUAACACAGGUUCCUGGAGCGCAGAGCGCCAACUACCCGGGGAGUCCAGCCAUAAUACCAUAAAAACUCCGUUGUAAGUGUUAUCAGGGAUUCAGAAUCAGAAAUUCAUUCACCGUCGGUUAGAAGAAACGUUUAUUUAUUAUUUUAAAUACAUGUAAAUUAUCUUAUUCUUUUUAGCCAUAUAAAACUAUAGCAAGCUAGACAUAUAUAGUAUUAUUCCUAUUCAAAACAUUUACUCAUUUUUUUAUUUACAUUUCCUAGAGUAAUUUAGUUUUUUUUUUUAUUUAAUUAAAUAAAAAUUAAUCUAUACACCAUAAUUAGAUUAUACCAAUUACAACAUUUUUUUCAGCUGCUACAGGGAUGACUGAGUAAAUACGUAAAAUCCGAACAACAACAUUAAAUCUUUUAAAUGCUUGUAUGUGAAUUUGUAAAGAGAACCUGUAGACACACUAUAUAGAUUUCAUACCUAAAAGAAAGUAUAAGCAAAUUGAGACAAGAGGCUCGACAAAAGACAAAUGUUAUUUACAUCUUUGUUUAAUCUUUCUCUUCAAUAUAUUUUGGUUAAGUAAAUUUUUCUGCUCUGUUAUUUGUACGGCCCAAAAUUGGUUUAUAGAGAUAUCUUUGUGUGAUUUGCAAGGCAAAAAUAGUGCUUUAUAUUCUUUUAAAGCAUUUAUUCCAUUUAAAAAAUUGUAAAACACGCAAAUGUAAACUUUUAAAGACAUCGUUGUGAUAAUUGAUGAUAGUUUUUUUUUUCUGUUUGUUAUUAAUUCUAUCGAGAUACCCUAGCAUGUCUGUGCACGUUUGCAUAUUGGUUAGUUGCUCAAUAAAGAGUUUACUUAUCUAGCACACACCGCUUAACAACAUUUUAAUUCUUUUUGUCGUCACAGCUAACGAAAUGGGGACCUUUCAAGUGCAAAGUCUAUCUCGUGGGAGAUACUUACAGUAUAAGUUAUGGUUAUAAUGGCCUGUACUACGUGUGCUAUCUUGGAAUGUAAUAAAAGUACAAUGCCUUAUGCAACAGGAGGUGCGUUGCUCCAGGGCGAUGUUCAACGCUCGGCUAUCACGUCGCCGUUUUAUUGCGAUACCCGGCUGGACCGUGACGCAACCCUUUGUUGCCAUCUUUGCAGUGGAAAAACUUUCAGAAAUUGUAAAAAUUAUGACGCUGUGUAUCAGUAUUUAUGCUUUCCUCUCAUGGCAAGUGGUUAUUACCGUCAUUAAGCCAGACGACUCUGCCAACAAGCUAAUUUUAUUUCUCCUUUUAGGUUGGGGAUGGGGUUUUGUACUGCAAAUAUGACGCGGGACUCAUGGAAGCAUAUUUUUGACGGCCCAUUUGUUUGAGCUCAAUUCUAACCAAUGAGUGCAACUAACCUUACACGAUCCAAGAACCUUACAAGUUGGGCGGACUGCUGUGUGUAGAAGUGAAAUGUAUUUACUGUGUAAAAGGUUUUCACCCACAACAAUUAAUGUGGCAUGUACUGCAUAUACGUACUCUAUACUGACAACAAAAUUAUAUUAUGAUGCAUUAGCGCGCCAUCUGUUAUCAAAAUCCGAAACUAUUAUAGACGCGUAUGAUUCUUUUUAAAAAUAAACAAUUUAUACUGCCCUUACUGCAAUGGAAAGAUUAAUGGGAGGGCCUGGCUCAUCAGUGGUGAACCCUCCCAGCGGAUUCGCCAGUUUAAUCUACCAUUUUAUAUCUCUAUCAAAUCUUAAUAUUUUAUGAACGCCUGUUUUUUUUUUUUAUUAUAUCUGUGGCUCAUUUUUUCCAUUGAUGUUUGAAAUCUAAUCGGUGUAUUAUGAAUUUCAAAUAGGGUAUAUAAUGGUAUCAGAGAAAAGAAAUUCGUCAAAUUUUAAAGAUAUUUUCAUACUGUGCUGAUGUUGCCCUAAUUUUGCGUACCAAUGUUUUUUGGAAUAAGUAAGAAAGAAAAUAUUUUGAAAAGUUUUAAAUGAUUUGCCUUCAAUAUGAAUCAAAAGUCGAAUGUCUUAAGUGGCUAGUGUCGGAAAUUGUACUUUUCAGUCAAAAGUCGAAAACUGCAAAUCAGUACGAGUGGUUGGACAUGAAAGGAAGUUAUUUGAACUGGGGAUUGUACAAGGAAAUGGCAUGAGCCAAUAUUUCCUUUUCCUUUCUUGAGAUGUCACUCUCACGCCUUUUACCCUGCAUAAUGGAAUUUCGCGAUUUUCCCCAACACAUUACUCAAGCUGCCCUAUCCUGAAGUCUAGGGCUCUUAAGUUCUAGGCUUCCUGGACCUCCUGUCUCCACCUUUACUGUCCUCUCCUACUGGAUUUCCUCCCCUGCCAAGACUCCUGCCUCUCACUGCUCCCAGGCGCUGUUCCCUGCCAUCUCUGCGUUUACUCCACCCCUGCGAGACAUCUUUGCUGCCAUAUCCUAGGAUCCCUUGCCACUGGAAGUCGCGUUCUGCCAUUGGGGCUAGAAGAUCAUACUCUAAAUGGCCAAUUAACCCGGAAAGAAACUCAACUCCCCAACACAUUCGUCUUUUUCUCCCAUUUCUUACAAAAGUGCUGUAUUUUACUGGUUUUGUAGGACCCCGAAGAGAAAAUUAAAUCUUGUGUUUUAUAUAUGUUUGGAUUUUGUCAGGCUGUCGACAACCCGAGUUUAAAACUUGCACUUUAGAAGACUCUUGCAAAGUUCGGCCCAACCAAUAAGUGCAAACAACCAAAUAGCAUUCUGGUUCCAACUGCAGCUAAGUGUGGAGAUAUUUGUUAUACUUAAAGCAUAUACACAGCUAGAAAGUAUUACACCCAGGAAUAUUUGAAGAAAAAAAAAACUUGGAAAUUGACUUAUAGUGACAUGCUUGCUUAUUUCUCAACUAAUUGAUCAUUAAAACAUGGUCUUAUAGUCCUAUAGACUUAUGGUGACGUGUAAUGAAUUAUUAUAUUUUGGAAGCAAAACGUUAAAACAUGAUUAAAUGCGAACAAAAUGUUCGUUUUUUUUUUAACAUUUGGUCUAUGAAACAGCCUGUACAUCCAGGCCAGGUUUCAUAUUCUACCAGUUCCUUUUGAAUGUAGCACACUGUCUACAUGAGACCGAUAGACCGGAGACGAUCAGUUUACGACUUUCUUGCUCCAAAACACAAGAACUUUACGUCUCACUGGAGAACGUCCUUCAACUUCAUGGCCUUCGCAGAGCAUCGACCUCGUCAAGCCACUUGUUGAUAGCCACCUUGAACCGUGGCUGUCACUUUUUUUUUAUUAUUUAUUACUUGCUUGGACGUUCUGAACCCGAGUAGAGAAAGUUAGACUCUCAUACUGGCGUCAAGAGACUAGCAGACAGAUAGAGACUUAUCUCUCUUUAAACUUCGCCUAUCACAUACAAGAGAUUAGUUGAGAAAACCUUUUCUUUCAGAUCUCCACGUGGUCUAGUGGUUACGAUAUCUGGCUUUCAUCCAGAAGGCCCGGGUUCGAGUUCCGGCGUGGGAAGUUUUUCUAGGCUCGAAAAUCACACACUUUGGUUAGUAGCCCGUAAAACCAUAUUCUCUCUCUUUCUGCACCUCUGUCCUCUCAUUAACUGUGGAAUAAACUUAAUGGUAAUAUGAUAUUUAUAUACAGGAAAAUGAUAUAAAGACAAUCAAGCUAAUAGAUUAGUCUGGGUAAAUUGGAGGAAAAUAAAUUUAUUAUACAUGGAUUUACCGCGGAUUCACCGCAAAUAAGAUUAAAAAAAAGUAAACGUGAGACAAAGAACAAUAAUUAUUAUAUACAAGAGAUACUUUUCAAACACGAGCGAUCAUCUAUAGCCAUUGCUACUCUAUUCCAACAUGCAGAUAUGCGUCACUUAACGACGUCCUGUUUAACGACCAAUUAACACUUAGGAUGGACUCAAUUAACUAAAUUAUGAGUCUGCGAAUAAGAAACUAGAAGAUGGUCACUUCAACUCAGUAGUACUCGUUGCUUGGCACUCAUAGUAAACUACACUGUAGUACCGUAGUAUAAACUACAUAUGUAGUUCAAUAUACAUCCGUUUUAAGCAGCGCUACUAUUGCUUUCAGCUUUCCCACGUGGUCUAGUGGCUAGGAUAUAUGGCUUUCAGCCAGAAGGCCCGGGUUCGUUUCCCGGCGUGGGAAGU